AACGAACGCUGACGGCAUGCCUAACACAUGCAAGUCGAACGAGACCUUCGGGUCUAGUGGCGCACGGGUGCGUAACGCGUGGGAAUCUGCCCUUGGGUUCGGAAUAACAGUUAGAAAUGACUGCUAAUACCGGAUAAUGUCUUCGGACCAAAGAUUUAUCGCCCAGGGAUGAGCCCGCGUAGGAUUAGCUAGUUGGUGAGGUAAAGGCUCACCAAGGCGACGAUCCUUAGCUGGUCUGAGAGGAUGAUCAGCCACACUGGGACUGAGACACGGCCCAGACUCCUACGGGAGGCAGCAGUGGGGAAUAUUGGACAAUGGGCGAAAGCCUGAUCCAGCAAUGCCGCGUGAGUGAUGAAGGCCUUAGGGUUGUAAAGCUCUUUUACCCGGGAUGAUAAUGACAGUACCGGGAGAAUAAGCCCGGCUAACUCCGUGCCAGCAGCCGCGGUAAU
rnacentral:rRNA from 1 species